AGGAGGCGGUAAUGAAAAGGCUGAUAGGAUCUUCACACGUCAAUACCGACAACAACGAGGAAUCGGAACGGCGUUCAAUUAAACCCUAAUUACCCGCGGCUGAGCACGGGGAGGAAACCGAGCACUAACAGGCCUGCUCUGCUCGGUGUGCGGUUUGGACAGCCAGACUCCAAGGCGGGUGUACGGAACUGAAGAGACACCCGGCUGUCCUCGUACCUGCUCCUGGAGGACCGCACCUUCUCACCUUUAAACCAGCGACCAACUCAGAACAAAGACACCAGGUGGGAUUUUUCAGGAUCUGAAGGACGGCGGAAGCUGGGGCAUUUUGGGAGCCCCCAGCCACGUGUCCCGGCCAAUCAGCGGUGAGAAAAUUUCUGCAGUGUAAUACAGCACUGGAACCUGUAGUUGAGAAGCAGUGAGGACAGAAGGAACGCAGGAGUUGAGUAUCUGGAAGUGCUGGUGGCCUGGUCUCCGGCUGGCCCCGUAGGUCCUGUGACAGAGCGAUAGCGGGUCUGAGUGGACAAUGCAGGAGAGCGCGCGCUCCGCCUCACAGUAGCGCCAGGCAUGCUGGGAAACCUUCUCAACCCGGCCCAGCUGUUUCACCACCGCCGGACGACCUCUGACCCCCCAUCUCCCCGCGUCUGCGCCGUCCAGCAAAACAUCCCCCCGCCCCCCCCCCCCCGAGGAGAGGGGCUGACGGGCCGAUUCCUGACUUCCGGAACGCCGCGGAGGCUGGGAUAACAGUCCCGGAGCGUUCCUCCCGGAGCGUUCCU